rnacentral:tRNA from 1 species
ACUUGUAUAGUUUAAUGGUUAAAACAUUCGCCUCAUAAGUGAAGAAUGAUAGGUUCAAAUCCUUCUACAAGUA